AAUUUUAUUUGUAAACAUACAGAUCUGAUUACACUUUGUUAAUUGCUUAUGAGUUUUUAAUCUUCAGUUGACGAGAAGACAACGCCCACUCUAAGUGAAGAAUGUGAGUGUGACUGCUGGGUGUAUAAUUUGUUGUACGGGGACUCGCCCUACAAUAAUCUGUCCUAUACACAGAUUGAAGAUGCCCUAAGGAAUGUCACACAGAAGAUCCAGAAAGAGUUAACAGUUAACAAAUCAUCACUUUCCUCGACCAUUAGAAAAAAGACAAGUGCUGAAGAUAGCAGAACGUCCGCGACAGCGAUGGGAUAUUCUUUGGGUGUGGCUAUGCUCGUCACCUCCUUAGGGGCAAUACUGUUGUCGGACUUACCAAAGAUGGUAGCCAGCUUUAACAUUCUGCGUGAAAAUUGUAAGUCUAGGUUUGGCAGUCAGCAAGAACCUGAUACACUAAACACAAGUGACAAAAACCGCAUUACGCAUCGUUCUAAUUGGCACAAAACAAACGCAGAAUCAACUCUAGAAAGAUAAAAUUGAGAGUUUUGUAAGAAAACUGGAUAGUCUACAGAACAAUGUGUCCAAAAUGUCGCCCCAGUGACAAUGAAAACAUAAACAGUCAGCGCAAAUUACGUGUCAGUUUGAUGAAGUUGUAACGACGUUAUGCGAUAUAUGAGCCGUGCCAUGAGAAA